rnacentral:rRNA from 1 species
CUCCGGUGAUCCUGCCGGACCCGACUGCUAUCGGAUUGAGAUUUAGCCAUGCGAGUCGAACGUUCCCCUGUUGCGGGGAGCGUGGCGUACGGCUCAGUAACACGUAGUCAACCUGCCCUGGAGACAAGGACAACCCCGGGAAACUGGGAUUAAUCCUUGAUAGGUCAUCUCAUCUGGAAGGAGAGAUGGCUUAAAGGGGUACGCGGGCUUCUUCCGCGAAUUCGCUCCAGGAUGGGACUGCGUCCGAUCAGGCUGUUGGCGGGGUAAUGGCCCACCAAACCUGUAACCGGUACGGGCCUUGAGAGAGGUGGCCCGGAGAUGGACACUGAGAGAAGGGUCCAGGUCCUACGGGGCGCAGCAGGCGCGAAACCUUCGCAAUGCGCGAAAGCGUGACGAGGUUAAUCCGAGUGACUCCCGCUGAGGGGGUCUUUUGUCAGCUGUAAAUAGGCAGGCGAAUAAGGGGAGGGCAAGCCUGGUGUCAGCCGCCGCGGUAAUACCAGCUCCUCGAGUGGUCGGGGCGAUUAUUGGGCCUAAAGCAUCCGUAGCCGGUUCCGUAGGUCCUCUGUUAAAUCCAACCGCUCAACGGUUGACCUGCAGAGGAUACCGCGGGACUAGGAGGCGGGAGAGGCGGACGGUACUCCGCGUGUAGGGGUAAAAUCCUUUGAUCCGCGGAAGACCACCAGUGGCGAAGGCGGUCCGCCAGAACGCGCUCGACGGUGAGGGAUGAAAGCUGGGGGAGCGAACCGGAUUAGAUACCCGGGUAGUCCCAGCCGUAAACGAUGCUAGCUAGAUGAUUCAUUCGCAAGUCGCGAAUGAAGUGUCGCAGGGAAGCCGUUAAGCUAGCCGCCUGGGGAGUACGGUCGCAAGACUGAAACUUAAAGGAAUUGGCGGGGGAGCA